AGCAGCCGCGGUAAUUCCAGCUCCAAUAGCGUAUAUUAAAGUUGCUGCAGUUAAAAAGCUCGUAGUUGAAUUUCGGGAUCAAUAUGUUGGUCGUGCCUUGGUACGUACUGGCAUUAUUGGUUUCUACCUUCUGAAGAACCUCGAUGUCAUUAAUUUGGUGUCUUGGGGAAUCAGGACUGUUACUUUGAAAAAUUGAGUGUUUAAAGCAGGCUCGCGCUUGAAUACAUUAGCAUGGAAUAAUGAAAUAGGACGUUUGAUUCUAUUUCGUUGGUUUCUAGGAUUGACGUAAUGAUUAAUAGGGAUAGUUGGGGGCAUUAGUAUUCAAUUGUCAGAGGUGAAAUUCUUGGAUUUAUUGAAGACUAACUACUGCGAAAGCAUUUGCCAAGGAUGUUUUCAUUAAUCAAGAACGAAAGUUAGGGGAUCGAAGACGAUCAGAUACCGUCGUAGUCUUAACCAUAAACUAUGCCGACUAGGGAUCGGAUGAUGUUAAUAUGACUCGUUCGGCGUACCG
rnacentral:misc_RNA from 1 species